GGAUUAGAUACCCUGGUAGUCCACGCCCUAAACGAUGCACACUAGUUGUUGUGAGGCUAGACCUUGCAGUAAUGCAGUUAACACAUUAAGUGUGCCGCCUGGGGAGUACGGUCGCAAGAUUAAAACUCAAAGGAAUAGACGGGGACCCGCACAAGCGGUGGAGCAUGUGGUUUAAUUCGACGAUACACGAAGAACCUUACCUGGACUUGACAUAGUAAGAACUUUCUAGAGAUAGAUUGGUGUCUGCUUGCAGAAACUUAUAUACAGGUGCUGCACGGCUGUCGUCAGCUCGUGCC
rnacentral:rRNA from 1 species